ACCCUGCAGACGGAUUGAACGGCAGCCGACAGCGAGAGCCGGACAGGGU
ncrna:unclassified sequences DTF2693-FD RNA